rnacentral:rRNA from 1 species
GAUGAACGCUGGCGGCGUGCCUAAUACAUGCAAGUCGAGCGAACAGACGAGGAGCUUGCUCCUCUGACGUUAGCGGCGGACGGGUGAGUAACACGUGGAUAACCUACCUAUAAGACUGGGAUAACUUCGGGAAACCGGAGCUAAUACCGGAUAAUAUAUUGAACCGCAUGGUUCAAUAGUGAAAGACGGUUUUGCUGUCACUUAUAGAUGGAUCCGCGCCGCAUUAGCUAGUUGGUAAGGUAACGGCUUACCAAGGCAACGAUGCGUAGCCGACCUGAGAGGGUGAUCGGCCACACUGGAACUGAGACACGGUCCAGACUCCUACGGGAGGCAGCAGUAGGGAAUCUUCCGCAAUGGGCGAAAGCCUGACGGUGCAACGCCGCGUGGGUGAUGAAGGUCUUCGGAUCGUAAAACUCUGUUAUUAGGGAAGAACAAAUGUGUAAGUAACUAUGCACGUCUUGACGGUACCUAAUCAGAAAGCCACGGCUAACUACGUG